rnacentral:rRNA from 1 species
UUACCAUGCAGUCGAGCGGAGACUUCGGUCUUAGCGGCGAACGGGUGAGGAAUGCCUGGGAAUCUGCCUAUUAGUGGGGGAUAACGUUCCGAAAGGAACGCUAAUACCGCAUACGUCCUACGGGAGAAAGCAGGGGACCUUCGGGCCUUGCGCUAAUAGAUGAGCCCAGGUCGGAUUAGCUAGUUGGUGGGGUAAAGGCUCACCAAGGCGACGAUCCGUAGCUGGUCUGAGAGGAUGAUCAGCCACACUGGAACUGAGACACGGUCCAGACUCCUACGGGAGGCAGCAGUGGGGAAUAUUGGACAAUGGGCGAAAGCCUGAUCCAGCCAUGCCGCGUGUGUGAAGAAGGCCUUCGGGUUGUAAAGCACUUUAAGCGGGGAGGAAGUGCUCGGGGCUAAUACCCCUGAGUGUUGACGUUACCCGCAGAAUAAGCACCGGCUAACUCUGUGCCAGCAGCCGCGGUAAUACAGAGGGUGCAAGCGUUAAUCGGAAUUACUGGGCGUAAAGCGCGCGUAGGCGGUUUGUUAAGUCGGAUGUGAAAUCCCCGGGCUCAACCUGGGCACGGCAUCCGAUACUGGCUGACUAGAGUGUGGGAGAGGAAGGUAGAAUUCCAGGUGUAGCGGUGAAAUGCGUAGAGAUCUGGAGGAAUACCGAUGGCGAAGGCAGCCUUCUGGCCUAACACUGACGCUGAGGUGCGAAAGCAUGGGGAGCAAACAGGAUUAGAUACCCUGGUAGUCCAUGCCGUAAACGAUGUCAACUAGCCGUUGGGGACCUUGAGUCUUUAGUGGCGCAGCUAACGCGAUAAGUUGACCGCCUGGGGAGUACGGCCGCAAGGUUAAAACUCAAAUGAAUUGACGGGGGCCCGCACAAGCGGUGGAGUAUGUGGUUUAAUUCGAUGCAACGCGAAGAACCUUACCUGGCCUUGACAUAUCCGGAACCCUGCAGAGAUGCGGGGGUGCCUUCGGGAAUCGGAAUACAGGUGCUGCAUGGCUGUCGUCAGCUCGUGUCGUGAGAUGUUGGGUUAAGUCCCGCAACGAGCGCAACCCUUGUCCUUAGUUGCCAGCACGUAAUGGUGGGAACUCUAAGGAGACUGCCGGUGACAAACCGGAGGAAGGCGGGGACGACGUCAAGUCAUCAUGGCCCUUACGGCCAGGGCUACACACGUACUACAAUGGUCGGUACAAAGGGUUGCUAAGCCGCGAGGCCUCGCUAAUCUCAAAAAACCGAUCGUAGUCCAGAUUGGAGUCUGCAACUCGACUCCAUGAAGUCGGAAUCGCUAGUAAUCGCAGAUCAGAAUGCUGCGGUGAAUACGUUCCCGGGCCUUGUACACACCGCCCGUCACACCAUGGGAGUCUAUUGCACCAGAAGUAGCUAGCUUAACCUUCGGGAGGGCGGUUACCUCAGA